rnacentral:misc_RNA from 1 species
UGGAUACUAUCUGGUGCGCUCU